GACGAACGCUGGCGGCGUGCUUAACACAUGCAAGUCGAACGGACAGACAGAGAGCUUGCUCUCUUGAAGUUAGUGGCGAACGGGUGAGUAACGCGUAAUCAACCUGCCCUUCAGAGGGGGAUAACAACGGGAAACCGUUGCUAAUACCGCGUACGAUUCAUGAACGGCAUCGUUUAUGAAUGAAAGGUGGCCUCUAUGUAUAAGCUAUCGCUGAAGGAGGGGAUUGCGUCUGAUUAGCUAGUUGGAGGGGUAACGGCCCACCAAGGCAAUGAUAAGUAGCCGGUCUGAGAGGAUGAACGGCCACAUUGGGACUGAGACACGGCCCAAACUCCUACGGGAGGCAGCAGUGGGGAAUCUUCCGCAAUGGACGAAAGUCUGACGGAGCAACGCCGCGUGAGUGAUGAAGGCCUUCGGAUUGUAAAGCUCUGUUAAUCGGGACGAAAGAGUUCUGCGUGAAUAAUGCAGGAAAGUGACGGUAUCUCCUUAGCAAGCACCGGCUAACUCUGUGCCAGCCGCCGCAGUAA
rnacentral:rRNA from 1 species